rnacentral:misc_RNA from 1 species
GCCCAUGGGCCAAACAAAGCACCUGGAUUGGUAAGAUUAGCAUGAAUCAGAUAGACCAAUAAGAACUGAGAUCAACACAAGUACUCAACCAGUCAAUGAAAUGUAGGCUAGCCAAGGUAUUAAUAUUUACAAUCAGAACACUAUUUUUUCUAGAAUGAAUCCAAAAUAUCAUGUGCACAUAGUUCAAUUCAUAUCCCUGGAUAUUCUGAUUGCAAAACUCUACAUAAAUAAGUCUAUUGCCCCUAUCAAGCAGAAUUGUGCAAAUGACAAGUAAAACUACGACAUGGAUAAAUCUGCAAAUGAAAAAGAACCAAGCAGAUGGAGCAAUAUUCAUAAAGUCAAUAUUCUCUGCCAAUAAAAGUUUGCCAGAGUAUUGGUACCUAUAUGAACUACACCAUUUGCUCCCUUAUUAUCAAAGGGAGUGUAUAUCAGCUCAUAAAUGGACUACUUCAUUGGUGAUAUGAGCAUUUAUGCAAGCCAAAUCAAGGACCAGGUUACAUCAUUAUUCAUUACUGAAGCCCACAACAAUGGUUGGAAGGAGCAACCAAGCAUCAGUACAGGCAGAACCCGAAUAGUUCGAUCGACAACCAUUUUUAGCAACGGACUAGCAAAUGCAACGCACCAAGUGAACUGGUUGAUUGAAUUCAUGAAGCAAGGGCAUAGCCGUGUGAAACCAUCCUUUAAUACAAUUACAUUCCAUACUCCUAUUAAGAAAAAAGGCGAGAAGAAUGGACUGACAGAACAAGCGUUCUGUCCACCUUUGAUGAUGCCCAGGAGGA